AAGUCGUAACAAGGUUUCCGUAGGUGAACCUGCGGAAGGAUCAUUACAGAGUACCGGUGCCCUCUGGGCGCCUACUCCAACCCUUUGUCUACCCGACCCGUUGCUUUGGCAGGCCGGUGCCCCCAGGCGCCGCCGGCUCACGCUGGAGAGUGCCUGCCAGAGGCCAAUUUAAACACCGCUCACAGUGACCUCUGAGUAUCAAACAAAUGAAUCAAAACUUUCAACAACGGAUCUCUUGGUUCUG
rnacentral:misc_RNA from 1 species